UUCAUGGAGAGUUUGAUCCUGGCUCAGGACGAACGCUGGCGGCGUGCCUAAUACAUGCAAGUCGAGCGAACCGGCGGGAGCUUGCUCCCUUAGGUUAGCGGCGGACG
rnacentral:rRNA from 1 species